GACGAACGCUGGCGGCGCGCUUAACACAUGCAAGUCGAGCGAAGCGGCGGACGGGUGAGUAACACGUGAGUAACCUGCCUUAGACCUGGGGAUAGCCUCGGGAACCCGGGAUUAAUACCAAAUGGUCUAAGAUGGACUCGCGUCCCAUUAGCUAGUUGGUGAGGUAACGGGUCACCAAGGCCACGAUGGGUAGCCGGCCUGAGAGGGUGAACGACGACUUUGGAACUGAGAAACUGUCCAAACUCUACGGGAGGCAGGAGUGGGGAAUAAUGCACAAUGGAGGGAGCUCAGAUGCAGCGACGCAGCGUGAACGAAGAAGGCUGUCGAGACGUAAAGUUCUUUUAUAUGGGAAGCGGUACCAUAAGAAAAAGCCCAGGCUAACUACGUGCCAGCAGCCGCGGUAAUUC
rnacentral:rRNA from 1 species